UCAAGCUAAUAAGAGCACAGGGUGGAUGCCCAGGCACCAAACGCCGACGAAAGACGUGGCAAGCUGCGAAAAGUCACGGGGAACCGCAAGCAGGUAUUGAUCCGUGAACGUCUGAAUGGGGAAACCCGGCGGGUUAACAGCCCGUCACUAUUAACUGAAUCAAUAGGUUAAUAGAGGGAACGCGGGGAACUGAAACAUCUCAGUACCCGUAGGAAGAGAAAAUAAAGAAUGAUUUCCUAAGUAGCGGCGAGCGAACGGGAAAGAGGCCAAACCGAAGGGCUUGCUCUUCGGGGUUGUGGAUCAGCAAAAAGGACGGAAGACCUUAGCAGAAGAGGAUUGGAAAGUCCCGCCAGAGAGGGUAAAAGCCCCUUACGCGAAAAGGUCAAACGACGAGCUGACACCAGAGUACCGCAGGACACGAGAAAUCCGGUGGGAAGCCGGGAGGACCACCUCCCAAGCCUAAAUACGAAUUGGUGACCGAUAGCGCAUAGUACCGUGAGGGAAAGGUGAAAAGAACCCCGGGAGGGGAGUGAAAAAGAACCUGAAACCCUGUGUUUACAAGCAGUGAAAGUGCAAGUUAGGCACGAUCACGUACUUUUUGUAGAACGGACCGGCGAGUUACGUUAUGCAGCAAGGUUAAGAACUGAAGGUUCGGAGCCGAAGCGAAAGCGAGUCUGAACAGGGCGAUAGUUGCAUGACGUAGACCCGAAACCGGGUGACCUAUCCAUGAGCAGGUUGAAGUGGAGGUAAAGCUCCAUGGAGGACCGAACCAGACGUCUGUUGAAAAAGGCGGGGAUGACUUGUGGAUAGGGGAGAAAUUCCAAUCGAACCCGGAGAUAGCUGGUUCUCCUCGAAAUAGCUUUAGGGCUAGCCUCAUGGAUCAUUGGUGGGGGUAGAGCACUGAAUGUGCGCGGGGGCCACAAAGCCUACCAAACGCUAUCAAACUUCGAAUACCAUACAAUGCAGACCAUGGGAGUCAGUCCGCGAGAGAUAAGUUCCGCGGGCAAAAGGGGAACACCCCAGAUCAACCGCUAAGGUCCCCAAGUUCACGUUAAGUGGAGAAGGAUGUGGAAUUGCACAGACAACCAGGAUGUUGGCUCAGAAGCAGCCACACAUUUAAAGAGUGCGUAAUAGCUCACUGGUCGAGUGAUUGUGCGCCGAAGAUGUCCGGGGCUAAACGUGACACCGAAGCGAUGGGUGCAUCUGAAAGGAUGCGCGGUAGAGGAGCAAUGUGCAGAGGCAGAAGCCGUAUCGAGAGGCACGGUGGACACUGCACAAGAGAGAAUGCCGGUAUGAGUAGCGAGAGGCAUGCGAGAAACAUGCCCGUCGAAAGCCCAAGGUUUCCUGGGGAAGGUUCAUCCGCCCAGGGUAAGUCGGGGCCUAAGCCGAGGACGGAAGUCGUAGGCGAUGGACAGCAGGUGUAGAUUCCUGCACUACCGAUGGAAUGAAGCAGUGACACAGAAGGAUAACUCGAGCAGGGUGAUGGUCAACCCUGUGCAAGCAUCAAGGUUGGGUUGUAGUGAAGUACGCAAUCCUACAAGCUGAGGUGUGAUGCGGACCGAAAUUUCAGUAGGGAAGCGAGUGAGUUCACGCUGGCGAGAAAAGCUGCUAGUAUAUCCAAAGGUACCCGUACCGGAAACCGACGCAGGUGGGCGAGGAGAGAAUCCUGAGACGAACGGGAGAACCCUUGUUAAGGAACUCGGCAAAAUGACCCCGUAACUUCGGGAUAAGGGGUGCCUGCGAGAGCAGGCCGCAGAGAAUAGUCACAAGCGACUGUUUAGCAAAAACACAGGUAUCUGCGAAAGCGAGAGCUGACGUAUAGGUGCUGACACCUGCCCGGUGCUGGAAGGUUAAGGGAACAUGUUAGAGCAAUCGAAGCAUCGAACCGAAGCCCCAGUAAACGGCGGCCGUAACUAUAACGGUCCUAAGGUAGCGAAAUUCCUUGUCGGGUAAGUUCCGACCCG
rnacentral:rRNA from 1 species